rnacentral:misc_RNA from 1 species
CAGCCUCUUAUGACAUAUUACUAAGUAUAUGAGUAUUUACAGGUAUUUACAGGUAUUUACACAUAUUUACACUUGAGUAGUAUAAAGAGAUCAGACUCAGUACGAAAGAUUAUAUGAAGGGUUGGUGUUCAGAAUGGAGCGAGGACAAGAAGGAAAGGUAUAUACUAAGUAUAUAAAGGUAUUUAUAGGAAGUCGAGAUAAUUAGAGAGAGUUUUUACUUAGCAGGAAACUAAUAAGUGAUGACAAUAAAAGCAUAUAAAUGUAUAUAAACAUAUGGGA